AACAAAACGCUGGCGGCGUGUCUUAAGCAUGCAAGUUGAGCGGCAAGGAGGAGAGAUCCUCCCUAGAGCGGCGGACUGGUGAGUAACGCGUGGGUAAUCUAUCGUAGGCAUGGGGAUAGUCACUAGAAAUAGUGGGUAAUACCGAAUACGUUCCAUGAGGGAGUAUUCAUGGAAGAAAGGGUGCUACGGCACUGGCCUUAGGUGAGCUCGCGUCCCAUUAGCUAGUUGGUGAGGUAAAGGCCCACCAAGGCGAUGAUGGGUAGCCGGCCUGAGAGGGUGAACGGCCACACUGGGACUGAGACACGGCCCAGACUCCUACGGGAGGCAGCAGUUGGGAAUCUUCGGCAAUGGGCGCAAGCCUGACCGAGCAACGCCGCGUGAGUGAUGAAGGUUUUCGGAUUGUAAAGCUCUGUCUUCCGGGACGAUAAUGACGGUACCGGAGGAGGAAGCCACGGCUAACUACGUGCCCAGCAGCCGCGGUAAGCGAUACUCGUA
rnacentral:rRNA from 1 species